rnacentral:rRNA from 1 species
ACUGAAUAGAUACCCGGGUAGUCCCAGCUGUAAACGAUGCAGACUAGGUGUUUGGACGGCCACGUGCCGUUCUAGUGCCGCAGGGAAGCUGUUAAGUCUGCCGCCUGGGGAGUACGAUCGCAAGAUUGAAACUUAAAGGAAUUGGCGGGGGAGCACCACAAGGGGUGAAGCUUGCGGUUUAAUUGGAGUCAACGCCGGAAAUCUCACCGGGAGCGACAGCAGUAUGAAAGCCAGAUUGAAGGUCUUGCUAGACGAGCUGAGAGGAGGUGCAUGGCCGUCGCCAGUUCGUGCCGUGAGGUGUCCUGUUAAGUCAGGCAACGAUCGAGACCCGCGUCCUCUGUUGCAACCAGCUUUGUGCUGGGCACACUGAGGAGACCGCCACUGAUAAAGUGGAGGAAGGAGCGGGCCACGGCAGGUCAGUAUGCCCCGAAUCUCCCGGGCCACACGCGAGCUGCAAUGGCAAGUACAAUGGGUUCCGACCUCGAAAGGGGGAGGCAAUCUCGAAAGCUUGCCGUAGUUGGAAUU